GGAAAUAUUUUUCCCUGUGCUUGAUACAAUCAUUAAUGAUUUAAAUGAAAGAUUUAAUUAUGAUUGUUUAAAUUUUUUAUCUCAAAUAUCUCUUUUUACACCAGCUGGAAUUAUAGCCAAUGAUAGAAUAGAAGGGUGGCAAAUAUCUCAAAUUUGUCAUACUUACCAAUUAAAUGCUCAAGAUAUUGCUCGUGAAUAUAAUGAUUUUCGAUCUUUAUAUUUGGAUUCACAAGCAAUCAUUUAUUGCAAGGAUCUUUUGAAAAUAAAAAAGAAUGAUGGGUUAUAUAUUGAUGAAAGUAUUGUAAACGAUGAAACCGAGGAAGAUAUCAAUAACGAUAACAUAAUUAAUACAAAAAAAUGGAUAAAAUAUUCAUUUAUACUACCAUAUCGUCUUUUAAAUAAAUUAAA